rfam:Salmo salar isolate Sally breed double haploid chromosome ssa13, whole genome shotgun sequence.
CCCCAUGUAACUCAGUUGGUAGAGCGUGGUGCUUGUAAAACCAGGGUUGUGGGUUCGAUUCCCACGGGGA